rnacentral:rRNA from 1 species
UACGUAGGGUGCGAGCGUUAAUCGGAAUUACUGGGCGUAAAGCGUGCGCAGGCGGUUCGUUAAGCCAGAUGUGAAAUCCCCGGGCUUAACCUGGGAACUGCAUUUGUGACUGGCGAGCUAGAGUAUGGCAGAGGGGGGUAGAAUUCCACGUGUAGCAGUGAAAUGCGUAGAGAUGUGGAGGAAUACCGAUGGCGAAGGCAGCCCCCUGGGCCAAUACUGACGCUCAUGCACGAAAGCGUGGGGAGCAAACAGG